rnacentral:misc_RNA from 1 species
ACCCGACACUGGCACUGCCGUAUACUCACCAAUAAAUACACGCACGAUACAGUCCGAGGGGCAAAACAACGCCGGUUGACUGCUCAUCGUAUUGAGAAAAUAUGGAUACACAACUUAAAGUGAUCCAAAGUACAACGGUAGUACCUUUUGCCUGUGCCAAACUUUAUAUUACAAGUUACUACGACAAACAUGGCGGGGAGGAGAAAGGGUUCACAAACACCCCAUGUUUCAACCUUUGGAACCAAUAAAACUAACGAAGCAACACAACGGAUAGUAAAAAUAGCAACUCACGAGGUUAUCAAAAUGCCCACAACACGUACAAUUUCUAAGAACCCUUCGGUAGGGAAACACGAAAAUUAAAUAUCAAACCAAAACGGUCGUGGUAGUUUUUUUUCCGGAUGUACUAAGCACCGCGCAGAAUCCUGCUAACGUUUUGCAGUAACACAUCCACGGUUCUCCUGCACAAUGGACCAACUAGGACGGUCAUCAG